GACGAACGCUGGCGGCGUGCUUAACACAUGCAAGUCGAACGGAAAGGCCUCUUUCGGGGGGUACUCGAGUGGCGAACGGGUGAGUAACACGUGAGUAACCUGCCCUUGACUUUGGGAUAACUUCAGGAAACUGGGGCUAAUACCGGAUAGGAGCUCCUGCUGCAUGGUGGGGGUUGGAAAGUUUCGGCGGGUGGGGAUGGACUCGCGGCUUAUCAGCUUGUUGGGGGGGUAGUGGCUUACCAAGACUUUGACGGGUAGCCGGCCUGAGAGGGUGACCGGCCACAUUGGGACUGAGAUACGGCCCAGACUCCUACGGGAGGCAGCAGUGGGGAAUAUUGCACAAUGGGUGGAAGCCUGAUGCAGCAACGCCGUGUGCGGGAUGACGGCCUUCGGGUUGUAAACCGCUUUCGCUCAUGACGAAGCUUUGUGUGACGGUAGUGGGUAAAGAAGCACCGGCUAACUACGUG
rnacentral:rRNA from 1 species